rnacentral:lncRNA from 1 species
UAAUUUCUGUCAUUUAUUCACGUCAUAAUCCCCAAAGCUACCUUUAUUCCACGACUCUUUCCACCAUUUUCCUACAGUCAGCUUUUUUUAAGGCUAUAGCCUUUAAAAACUUGAAACAGAAAAUUUUAAGGAUGCAACCAUUAGAAAAUGUUCCCAUACUACCAUUUAACAUUCCCCAUUUAUCAUUAUGUUUACUAUCGUGUAAUUUCCAACAUAAUAUUAUGAGGUCAAAGGCUCUACGAACGCCGUUUUACAAUCUACCUAGGGAGGCAAUGGCUGUGAAACACACCACACCAAUGACAGGAAUGCGGGUCACUGUGACACAACGGAUCCCUCUGCAAAGUCAAAGCUAAGAGUUCACUUUACGCUGACGGAGCUUCUUUCCAGGACCCCCACCCCCACCCAAGGACAGGAGAGUGUCGAUUUCCCAAGGUGUCUGGCACUGCUUCUUGAAAACGCAGCUCUCAUCUGGUUCCUGGAAGGUCAUACUGGUUCGCGCAGGGCUCGGGACGGGGCGCUUGGCUUCUGAGGCACCCGCGCUGGCUCCUCACCCGGUGACCUUCAGGCCUCUGCGCUUGGCCUGACCCUAGAAGGGCCACCGCCCUUCACAGCGGGCGGGCACCGUCCCUCCCACGGCCCCGCCGACUGCUGACGCGGUGGCCCCAAGGGUCCAGGCCCGCACUUGCCCCACUCCCGCGGCGCCGUCCCCCAUAGUCGGUCCCCGAGGGCCGCGCCCAGCUCCUGCUCGGAUUUCAGCCCGCACCGCACCCCAGCCGCCAGGGAACCUUCCAGAACCCUGCCCCUCUGGCUUUCUCCCGAAAGCCCAGGGUCGCCGUCCAGGAAGAAACUUCGAUUCAUUUAUUGAGCGCCGACUGUGUCCAAGGCCGAGGGAGGGGCGGGGUUUCCACGCGGGGAGACCCCCUAGGUUCUCGCCUCGGUAAGCGCCCGCGUUCCAGCACCUCGAGUCGCCCGCGGGCCCCCACCCCUCGGGCCGGGCCCGGUCCUCGAGGAAAACCCACGGCGGGGCAGGAAGGAACGAGGAGAGCCACGCUCCUUGCCCGCCUCGUCCCCUCCACUCCCCUUCACCUCACGGGACCCCAGGGAAGCCGCCGGAGCUAAAAUUAGCAACCCGCGCAGCGCGCGCUCACGUGCGCGCGGCCCGGCGGGGGCGGGGAGCAAGGGGCGCGGUCCGGGUGAGUCACCGGCCCCGCCCCACUCGCCAAGAACGCGCUGACGUCAGCCGCUUCCCCGAAGGGUGACGUAAGCGCGCCACGGGGAGGCCGAGGCAGCUGAUAGAAUGUUCUGAGUUUCGAUGCCUUAAAGGGACCAGGCCUGGGAUCGUGAAACAUCUGGGGAAACGACUCCACUCACUCACCUGCAGACUGAGAGCCCAUCUUGUACCGUGUUAUACUUUAAGAGAGUUGACUGUUGAGAUGAUGAUGAAAACGGAAGAACAACUGAGCCUAGUUGGAGGCUCUUUGAAGUCCCAGAACCUCCUCCUGGAAGCCCUCUUUGGUUAACCAGAUGGACAUCUCAGUUGCCCUCUGAGCCUGAACCAAGUGUCAGGAAGAGUUUUCUAUGGCCCUUGACUCCUUAACUCUUUGCUUAUAGCGUCUCUGCUCUCUGAUGCCUCUGCUGUCAGAGAAAGGCUGUGGUUUAAAUAUUUAUUUAUGAAUCCAUCAGCUUGGGCCAACUAGGUCCAUUUAUCACCGUUUUGACUGUGUCUAAACUGUCAUUAGUGGUGUGACUAGAAACCAGUUAAUUUCGCUGGGUGGUAAAUUCGUGGACUGAUCUCCAAACCCUCCUACUGUGCUAAUGUUGCCAAUGGAAGUUUCCAGAGGCCAGGAUCCCUGGCCAACACGUGAUCGUAAACAACAUCAGGGCCUCACAGGGAACUCA